rnacentral:rRNA from 1 species
UACGAAGGGUGCAAGCGUUACUCGGAAUUACUGGGCGUAAAGCGCGUGUAGGCGGUUUGUUAAGUCGAGUGUGAAAUCCCUGGGCUCAACCGAGGAAGUGCAUUCGAAACUAACUUGCUUGAAGACGGUAGAGGAAGGUGGAAUUCCAAGUGUAGAGGUGAAAUUCGUAGAUAUUUGGAGGAAUACCGGUGGCGAAGGCGGCCUUCUGGACCGAUCUUGACGCUGAGACGCGAAAGCGUGGGGAGCAAACAGG